rnacentral:rRNA from 1 species
UACAGAGGGGGCAAGCGUUGUUCGGAGUUACUGGGCGUAAAGGGCGCGUAGGCGGCCUCUUAAGUCGAACGUGAAAUCCCCGGGCUCAACCCGGGAACUGCGUCCGAUACUGGGAGGCUUGAAUCCGGGAGAGGGAUGUGGAAUUCCAGGUGUAGCGGUGAAAUGCGUAGAUAUCUGGAGGAACACCGGUGGCGAAGGCGGCAUCCUGGACCGGUAUUGACGCUGAGGUACGAAAGCGUGGGUAGCAAACAGG